UACGUAGGGAGCAAGCGUUGUCCGGAAUCAUUGGGCGUAAAGCGCGCGUAGGUGGCCACAUAAGUCCGUUGUGAAAGUCAAAGGCUCAACCUUUGAAAGCCGAUGGAUACUGUGUGGCUAGAGUACGGAGGAGGCGAGUGGAAUUCCUGGUGUAGCGGUGGAAUGCGCAGAUAUCAGGAGGAACACCAAUAGCGAAGGCAGCUCGCUGGGACGUUACUGACACUGAGGCGCGAAAGCGUGGGGAGCGAACAGG
rnacentral:rRNA from 1 species